rnacentral:rRNA from 1 species
GAUGAACGCUAGCUACAGGCUUAACACAUGCAAGUCGAGGGGCAGCGGGAUUGAAGCUUGCUUCAAUUGCCGGCGAUCGGCGCACGGGUGAGUAACGCGUAUCCAACCUUCCGUACACUCAGGGAUAGCCUUUCGAAAGAAAGAUUAAUACCUGAUGGUAUGAUGAGAUUGCAUGAUAUCAUCAUUAAAGAUUUAUCGGUGUACGAUGGGGAUGCGUUCCAUUAGGUAGUAGGCGGGGUAACGGCCCACCUAGCCAACGAUGGAUAGGGGUUCUGAGAGGAAGGUCCCCCACAUUGGAACUGAGACACGGUCCAAACUCCUACGGGAGGCAGCAGUGAGGAAUAUUGGUCAAUGGACGAGAGUCUGAACCAGCCAAGUAGCGUGAAGGAUGAAGGUCCUACGGAUUGUAAACUUCUUUUAUAAGGGAAUAAACCCUCCCACGUGUGGGAGCUUGUAUGUACCUUAUGAAUAAGCAUCGGCUAACUCCGUG